CAGUGUUAUAGCUCUUUUAAAAUUUGUCUAGCAGGCUUUCCGGUAAAGACUGGAAAGCCCCU
ensembl:snRNA RNU7-63P RNA, U7 small nuclear 63 pseudogene